CCAUAGCCCCGAUAGAAGCCGAAAUCCUUUUGCUUUUUUCUUUAAAAAGCAAAAGAUUGGAGCGGAUAGCGGGAAAUAGC
rnacentral:sRNA from 1 species